UACGGGGGGUGCGAGCGUUGUCCGGAAUCACUGGGCGUAAAGGGCGCGUAGGUGGUUUGAUAAGGGUGUGGUGAAAGCCCGGGGCUCAACCCCGGGUCUGCCGUGCCGACUGUCAAACUCGAGGGCUGUAGAGGCAGACGGAAUUCCGGGUGUAGCGGUGGAAUGCGUAGAGAUCCGGAGGAACACCGGUGGCGAAGGCGGGUCUCUGGGCCGUAACUGGACGCUGAGGAGCGAAAGCGUGGGGAGCGAACAGG
rnacentral:rRNA from 1 species